rnacentral:rRNA from 1 species
UACGUAGGUGGAAAGCGUUAUCCGGAUUUACUGGGUGUAAAGGGCGUGUAGGCGGGUUGGCAAGUCAGGUGUGAAAUUCAUAGGCUUAACUUAUGACGGUCAUCUGAAACUGCUGAUCUUGAGUGUCGGAGAGGAAAGUGGAAUUCCUAGUGUAGCGGUAAAAUGCGUAGAUAUUAGGAGGAACACCGGUGGCGAAGGCGACUUUCUGGACGAUAACUGACGCUGAGGCGCGAAAGCGUGGGGAGGCAAACAGGAUUAGAUAUCCGCGUAGU